AAAUUGAAGAGUUUGAUCAUGGCUCAGAUUGAACGCUGGCGGCAGGCCUAACACAUGCAAGUCGAACGGUAGCACAGAGAGCUUGCUCUCGGGUGACGAGUGGCGGACGGGUGAGUAAUGUCUGGGAAACUGCCUGAUGGAGGGGGAUAACUACUGGAAACGGUGGCUAAUACCGCAUAACGUCGCAAGACCAAAGAGGGGGACCUUCGGGCCUCUUGCCAUCAGAUGUGCCCAGAUGGGAUUAGCUUGUUGGUGAGGUAACGGCUCACCAAGGCGACGAUCCCUAGCUGGUCUGAGAGGAUGACCAGCCACACUGGAACUGAGACACGGUCCAGACUCCUACGGGAGGCAGCAGUGGGGAAUAUUGCACAAUGGGCGCAAGCCUGAUGCAGCCAUGCCGCGUGUAUGAAGAAGGCCUUCGGGUUGUAAAGUACUUUCAGCGGGGAGGAAGGUGUUGUGGUUA
rnacentral:rRNA from 2 species